rnacentral:piRNA from 1 species
UACAAAGUGUCAGGAGAUCACAACUCCAA